CGGGACGGGGUGGAGUAAUGUCUGGGAAACUGCCCGAUGGAGGGGGGUAACUACUGGAAACGGUAGCUAAUACCGCAUAACGUCGCAAGACCAAAGAGGGGACCUUCGGGCCUCUUGCCAUCGGAUGUGCCCAGAUGGGAUUAGCUAGUAGGUGGGGUAACGGCUCACCUAGGCGACGAUCCCUAGCUGGUCUGAGAGGAUGACCAGCCACACUGGAACUGAGACACGGUCCAG
rnacentral:rRNA from 1 species